rnacentral:pre_miRNA from 1 species
AGUGCCACAGAUAAAAAUGUUCAACAUGACAGUGCCACAGAUGAAAAUAUUCAUCUGUGGCUCUGUCAUGUUGAAUAUUUUCAUCUGUUGCAC